UACGAAGGGGGCUAGCGUUGUUCGGAUUUACUGGACGUAAAGGGCGCGUAGGCGGUGCGAUAAGUCAGGCGUGAAAGCCCCGGGCUCAACCCGGGAAUAGCGCUUGAUACUGUUGCGCUUGAAUCCAGGAGAGGAUGGCGGAAUUCCCAGUGUAGAGGUGAAAUUCGUAGAUAUUGGGAAGAACACCAGUGGCGAAGGCGGCCAUCUGGCCUGGAAUUGGCGCUGAGGAGCGAAAGCGUGGGGAGCGAACAGG
rnacentral:rRNA from 1 species